rnacentral:lncRNA from 1 species
AUAUUCAUUGCUUGUGAUUAUAGCAUUUAUGGUUAAUGAUAACAUGGAGCAUCAUUUGCUCACUGCCAUGCUAAUCUCAUGGGAUGUGGUAGUGCAUAGUAAGACUGAUUCAAUUACUUUUGCCUUAGUUAAAUUGACCAACUAAAUUAAUAAUUAAUAUAUUAGAUAUAAUACUAAUUAUAAUUAGUCUCCUGAUAUAGGUUAAAUUAAUAUUUAGUCAAAUUCUUUAUAAUAAAAUAAGAGGUCCGAUAACAAGUCAAGAAAAUCACAAAAAUAUGUGUACAAAAUAUUGGGUCGUUACAAUAUUU